UGACGGUACUUGCAGAAUAAGCACCGGCUAACUUCGUGCCAGCAGCCGCGGUAAUACGUAGGGUGCAAGCGUUAAUCGGAAUUACUGGGCGUAAAGCGUGCGCAGGCGGUUMGGAAAGAAAGAUGUGAAAUCCCAGAGCUUAACUUUGGAACUGCAUUUUUAACUACCGGUCUAGAGUGUGUCAGAGGGAGGUGGAAUUCCGMGUGUAGCAGUGAAAUGCGUAGAUAUGCGGAGGAACACCGAUGGCGAAGGCAGCCUCCUGGGAUAACACUGACGCUCAUGCACGAAAGCGUGGGGAGCAAACAGGAUUAGAUACCCUGGUAGUCCACGCCCUAAACGAUGUCAACUAGCUGUUGGGGCCUUCGGGCCUUGGUAGCGCAGCUAACGCGUGAAGUUGACCGCCUGGGGAGUACGGUCGCAAGAUUAAAACUCAAAGGAAUUGACGGGGACCCGCACAAGCGGUGGAUGAUGUGGAUUAAUUCGAUGCAACGCGAAACACCUUACCUACYCUUSACAUGUCUGGAAUGCCGCAUUAGAUUAGGAUGUGCUCGCAAGAGAACCGGCCCACAAGUGCUGCAUGGCUGCUGUCAGCUCGUGUCGUGAGAUGAUGGGUUAAGUCCCGCAACGAGCGCAACCCUUGUCAUUAUUUGCUACCAAAUGGCACUCUGGUGAGACUGCCGGACUACCACCGAAGGAAGGUGAGGAUGAGGGGAUGACUCAUGGCCCUUAUGGGCUGGCUUCUGCGUUAUACAAUGGCUAGGAGGAGGGUCGCCGCCCACCAGAGGAGAUAUCCAACAAACCUCAUCGUACAUCUGAUCUCAGAUGCACUCUGCUGUCUGAAGCUGAAUCUCUAAUAAUCUCGGAUCACAUGUCGCGU
rnacentral:rRNA from 1 species